rnacentral:rRNA from 1 species
CAGUUCGGAUUGUAGUCUGCAACUCGACUACAUGAAGCUGGAAUCGCUAGUAAUCGCGAAUCAGAAUGUCGCGGUGAAUACGUUCCCGGGUCUUGUACACACCGCCCGUCACACCAUGGGAGUCAGUAACGCCCGAAGCCGGUGACCCAACCGAUAAGGAGGGAGCCGUCGAAGGUGGGACCGAUAACUGGGGUGAAGUCGUAACAAGGUAAC